ACAACCACUGCACCUCCAGCAACAACAUCAUCAACAGUACCACCAAUGCCACCAGCCACUGCUCCAGCUACCACUGCCUCUACAGAUCCACCAUCAAGAGAGGAGGGUGUCCUGAUCCUGCUAUUCAGAAUCACUAGAAUUUUUACACAGAAACUGUUGGACCACAGCUCCGUUGAGUUCCAGAACCUGGCUCAAAAUGUCACCACAGAGUUGAAUCGUGGAUACUGGAGGGCUUUCCCUCUAACCUUCCUGAGAUGCAUUGUAACAGGUUUCAGGCGUGGACCUCCUCUCUUUUUUCCCAUUUUCCGUGCGGAUUCCAUAGAAGUGGACACAAACGUGAUCUUCAGGAACCAGAGCGUGGUUCCAAAUGUCACCGUGGCUGAAACAGCCCUUGUGGAGGCCCUCAAUAACUCAGUAGUCUUUUUAAACAUCAUUCCAUCCACCAUUAAUGCAGAAAUGGGCAAUACUGCCACCACUACCCCAACAAUGAUGACAACAAGCAGUGCCAUGGCAACAAUCAAACCCCAGAAAGUCAUCACUUUUCUGUUUCCUCUUAUUCUGGCCAUUUACUUUUUGUCAACAGACAUGAAGCUGCUUCAAUUUUAGCCGGAGAAAUACCUGCCUUUAUGCUUUUUGAAAAUGUAGCAAAAUCUGCGAGAAAAAAUACACAAGGUUUCAUUAAUGUUUAUUUUUCAUUUUAUUCUGCUAUUUUUCUGUCUCUUCAAUUACCUACCUCAUUUAAAAUGAUGGGUGACGAGAGCUGAAAAGUCAUUUUUCACUUGUGUGAUUAUUUAUAUUCGAAUAUAUCUCUACUGUACAAUCUGUCGCUCUAUUCUUUAUUAAAGAUUUAAUUUUAAGUGCAAACAUAAAUGUUUUAUUCAUACAUACAAAUUUAUCAAAUAUGACAUCAUAUUCGUUUUUUUGCUGGCCAAAAAAAAAGUGUCUUCAUCAGUUACAAUUGCCUUUCGUGACUAUUACUUUCUAGCCCACAAAAUAGUGUACUGUUAAUUAACUGAGGGCUUAAGAAAUGUAUGUUCGAAACUAUAGUUUGAAAAGAUGUCUAUUAUAUAAAUAAAUCUCUUAAUAUAUUUGCAUGAUAUUUGCUUCAGACUGUUUUGUCAAGGUAGACGUUAUGUAUGGAUUAACAGUGUUUCCUGAACUCCAGCCA